CGCAGUUGUAUAUUUACCAGUGGAAACUGAAAGAUGAUGAAUUAUGUGAAAAACUUGUCAAUGCUGCAAAAGACAGUUUCACCUAAUUCUGAAUUAUGCCGUUCUCUGAUUUACAUUGCUCAGCACAUACAUUGUUUGGAAGAGAUUAAAUGUUUGUGUAGAAAUGGUUUUCAUGUAUAAACAUGAUAGUCUGGACAGAAAACAGAUGCGCUGUUGCUGUUGAUUUGAGAAAUGAACAGCAAAUGUUUUUGAUGUUGUUGAUUCUCUUCCACAUGUUGCGUUAUCCAGAAAGAAUAACGAACAUUGGGAAGACAUUGGUUUAUUUGUAACAAUUUGUAUUUUUCAUGUGAAUUGGGUGGAGACAGCAGAGGACAAUGUCGAAUACAAUCCAACACUGCCUGCAUACCGAAUGUGUUUGCACGGGCCUGCUAUUAAAGCUGUACGCACAGUCUGCAUGAUUGAUGACACAGAGACCGGUCACUGCUUUCUCUCAGCUUAAGAAGCAGAGUCUCACCCAGCACUGAGAGAAGUCCCUAAGACACUCUGGGCUUUAUCUAAAUUUGAUGUUGGGCUGAUUAAAAAUUGUGAAUCAGUUCAAGUCACUCCAAAGUCUAAUUACAGACCCUGUAAACCACAAUAUCCUCUAAAAAGAGAGGCUAUUGAAGGUAUAACACCAGUUUUUGAAUAAUUAAGAGCAGCUGGGGUAAUUGUGCACUGUGAAAAUUCUCCUGUGCAUACACCUAUUUUCCCUGUUAUAAAGAUUAAGAAACAUGCGAACAAGACAUUGCAAAACUUAUAAAACAUUUGGCUACUGAGGGUCACAAAGCAAGUUUGUCAAAACUGCAGUGUGUAAAAAGGGAGGUGACAUUUUUAGGUCAUCAUCACUAAAAAUGGCAAAUCUUAAUCUGAGAAACUAAAGGAGACAAUUCAAAAGAUUCUAAAGCUUAUCAUGAAAAAGCAACUAAUGUCAUUUUUGGGCAUGUGUUCAUAUUGUCGAACGUUCAUUCCAAAUUAUGUUAAUGAAGAAUCGCCCCUGAGUGCUUUGGCUCACGGGAAGGGCUUGCAACCCCAUGACAAACUGACCUGGAUCCCAGAACCAGAGAAAGCAUUUAUGAAUAUAUUACUGAUAAAAACAUCACUAACACUGGGACUCCCAGACCCAGAGAGAAAUUUUGUACAAACUGUUGAUGAGAGAAUGGGUUCAUGACUUCUGUUCUGUUACAGGAUCAUGGGGGAGACCUGUGGCCUAUUUUUCGAGUAAGUUUGAUCCGGUAGCGGCAGGCAUGCCAAAAUGCCUGAGAGCUGUUGCAUCUGCAGAAAAAGCUAUUUUAUCUUCAAGGGAAAUUGUGGGGUACUCUGAUGUGACUUUGCUCGUGCCACGCACGGUCUCUGUGAUCCUGUUGGAACAGAAAACAUCCCAUUUGUCAACCGACAGAUGGCUCAGGUACAAUGCAAUUCAAUUCAGAACCAUGACCAUUUCCAUGCCAGGUGCCACGAGGAAGAUGGGCAGGCUGGUAAGGGAGGGAGGUGUGACCAUGUGCUCAUCUUCGGAAGAGUUCGCCAGUAAUCAUGGAUUCCCGGCAUUUUCUUUUGGACUGCUGCACCACCCCACGGCCAUGGAAGGAGUUGCAGGUGGAAGGGGGAUGCAUUGGCAUAAGUGCCAUCUAGUUCUGAGAGAACGAGAUAAGGAUGGAGGCUUGGAAUAUUUCCUGGAGUUUUACAUCCCACCUAAGUCAUCCAAGCCCAGAAUGAUGGUCCCAUGUUGCUCUAUUAUUGUUGUGAGGCCCACUACAGCCACAGAGGUGCCAGACAAAGAGAACACCCUUCUUCUGCAGUUGGAAGGUCAGGUGCAGUACGUGAUCGAGACCAGACAUGCGUUUCAGAUUAGAGCUUGGAUUAGGGAAAUCAGAAAUACCAUUUUUUUAAGUGAGAAAGAGGAUGUUGAGGGAGUGUGCGGCAGUGCUCUCACCAACCUCAGCAGUACACCAGAAUUCAACGACCGCCUGUCUCAAGUGUGUUAUGGUGGAGUUGGUGGUUCUCCUCAGCUGGAGCCUCUGCCUCCCGAGUUGCCACCCCAUGCCCCUCUUGAUGAAUCAGACAGUCGACUGCUUGGUGGGGGCGGAGCCAGUCUUAGCACACCUUUUGUAGAAACUUUUGAUUCCACAGGAUCGUUCCUGUUCUCCGAAGGUUCUGUUUCAGAGACGGUGGAACAUCGUCUGAGUGAGUGUCAGUGGUUUCACGGUUCACUCUCCCGUCUUAAGGCAGCCCAGCUUGUGAUGGCGGGCGGCAUGGCCAGCCAUGGAGUGUUCCUUGUAAGGCAGAGUGAGACACAGCAUGGGCAGUAUGUCCUCACCUUAAACUUCCAGGGCAAAGCAAAGCACUUGCUCUUCUCCUUCAAUGAGGAUGGACAGUGUUGUGUGAAGCAUCUCUGGUUCCAGUCCAUUUUUGACAUGUUGGAGCAUUUCCGUGUGCACCCCAUUCCCUUUAAGUCUAGGUGCGCCUCUGAUGUCAUCCUCAUCGGUUUUGUGAGGGCCACGAAUGUCCGGAAACAAGUCAUGCCAGUCAGUCAAGUCAGUACAGGAGAAGCUGCUGUUGGACAGGGAGCGCAGUCAGUGCCGACAGUGAGGCCUCAGCGCAAUGACUCUGGGCAGUCUGUGAAACAAGAAAUGGCUCGGUCUUUUCCUGGAUUUUUCCGAAAGGAGGCAAGAGGCAAAAAGCGUUUUGCACCAUAUACACCAACACAACCUGGGAAGAGCUUUUUGGUGAACUUUUUUCUUCUUGAAAAGCAACGUGAAAAAACACCAAAUGUAGAAGAGGAACUGCAGCUUAUACUGGCUGGCCUUGGAAAACGUUCAUUAACCCUUAAUGAAAACAUCACACAUUCAGAGUUUUCAGAUUUGCUUUUGAGCACAUAUCCAAGACUGGCAAAUAUCUUUGGAGGCUGGUUGCUGCAUAAGUCCACAGGUGGGGAUGGGCAGCGGAGAUUGGCUGUUAUCCCUCCAGAUUUAAAUGGAUACACCGGCCAGCAGCUAAAAGCAGUGAGCUGGAAUGGAAAAUAUACAAUGUACAUUGCUCCUUUACAAGAAGAACUGGAUACAGUUCCUUUACCACCAGAAGCAAAGGAAUUUGAGAAGAUGCCUAAAGCUCAGUGUACAACCUGCAAGAAAAUGGUUCCGCUUCAGAUUCUUCCAGGACACAUAAAGGAAUGCAAGAAACAACUUGUAGAUUUGUAUGAUUCUGAUGAAGAAGAAAGCUGCAAGGAAGAAGAUGAAUGCUCAGCUGCCCUUUGCUACGAGAAAAGCAAGACAGCUGAGUGUCCUGUGUGCAGUAAUGCAUUUCAUCCUGAAAUCAUUGAGUUCCAUGCAGCCAGUUGCGGAUUACGAACUUCAGAUGAUGAUGGCCAUGAGUCAAGUGAUCCAAUCAGUACCUUUCAAAGUUCUGAGGACAUUUUAAAUUGGAUCGGUUAUCAAGUUGAUGAGACAAACACAUUUUCCAUCUGUGUGUCGCGAACUGAUCUCUACAACAGAGACAUGCAACAGUGGCAACGGCAGAAGAGGACCUCACCCAAAUGUAGACUUAAGGUCACAUUCUUUGCCGAGGCAGGCAUUGAUACUGGUGCCCUUACCAAAGAAUUCCUCACAGAAAUGCUGGUAGAAAUAGAAAAAAGACUCUUUGUUGAAGGUCCAGAUAAGAAAGGACUGCAGGAGAAGUCAUGGCAGCUAGUCUGGCACAAGGCGGACCUUGCCCUAACUUCCUGCGUGAAUGGUGCUUCAAAUAUCUCUGCUCUGGUGACUCUGACAGCAUUCAAGUGUCUGCCAGUGAUGUCACAGACUUGGAACUGUCACAGCUAAUUGUAAAGAUAAACAGCGCCAGUGAUGACAACAUCAGCGACCUGAUUGGUGACAUUGUGACCUGCGGAUACACUGGAAUCGUGUCUGUGGAUAAAAGGGAAAGCAUAAUAAGAGCUGUUAUACUUCACUCCACCAUGAGACUCAUCCCGAUGCUCGACCAGCUCAGAAAAGGCCUGCAGCGCUAUGAACUACCAAAGAUCAUGAAGAUCCAUCAAGACCUUUGCCAACCACUGUUUGUUACAGGAGAAGAUAAUAAGGUACAUUCU